AUGAGAGGGAGAAAGCUAGAAGCUAAAGAUUCUGAAAAUCACUAACUGGCCUCUUCUUUCUCCCAG
ensembl:miRNA